rnacentral:lncRNA from 1 species
AGGACUUCAAAUUCAUAUAAGUGGUACACUCAACCUUGUGCUACGGGUGUGGCUACAAUCUUUGGUCACUGAGGGCAGUCUUUUAUAAGGUGUUGGGUGCUUCUGCACCGAUAACAGGCAUUAUCAAUACACUGAUAAGGCAGGUCACCAUGUGAGUGACCACAAUGUUGACAAAGUUAAUUAGCUCAGGCAGGUGGAGCUGUAGGUGGGGGCAGGGCAAGAGGAAGGGCAAUUCUGGUUCAUUUGUUGGGAGGGUUACUCAGUGGGUUAAGCAAUCUUUUUUUAAGCUAUUGGGGUUGUUAUUGG